rnacentral:lncRNA from 1 species
GGGGAGGGGAAACGGCAGCCUCAACCGCCUGGCAGCGGCGGUUUCUUCUCUUCGUGAAAAUCGUGAUCUCAUCUCUCCGUCCAUGGGCGAAAAAACAGCCAUCACCAGGCCAUUCACGCUUUGUGCUUUUGUUAGCAGAGCCCAGGCAGCCCUGCAGCCCACAUCUAGGUUUCUCUGCAGAAGACAGCAAGAUGCCCCAGGGAAUGUUUGUGAAAAAGGAUGACUGGAUGGGAAGCAAGCUGAAGAAAAAGAAGGAAAGAAAGAGAGAAAUCAGUAAAUCACCACACAAGAGGUGGAGAAGAGGACUUAUAAAUAUUGUUUCUAUGACAUUUGAAAAUAAAUGUUUUACUCCAUGCUAAUAGUGAAUGUGAUGUCUUCAGUUUGAAGGGCUUUAAGUGAAGCUCAUUAAAACCCACUAUUUUCCA